UACGUAGGUGGCAAGCGUUGUCCGGAAUUACUGGGUGUAAAGCGCGUGUAGGCGGCAGGCCAAGUCUGCGGUGAAAGCGCCCGGCUCAACUGGGCGAGGUCCGUGGAAACUGGUCAGCUGGAGGACGGUAGAGGCGAGUGGAAUUCCCGGUGUAGUGGUGAAAUGCGUAGAGAUUGGGAGGAACACCUGUGGCGAAGGCGGCUCGCUGGGCCGGUCCUGACGCUGAGACGCGAAGGCGUGGGGAGGCGAACGGG
rnacentral:rRNA from 1 species